rnacentral:rRNA from 1 species
GUCUAUGGCCAUGUCACCCUGAACAUGCCCGAUCUCAUCUGACCUUGGAAGCUAAGCAAGGUCGGGCCUGGUUAGUACUUAGAUGGGAGACCACCUAGGAAGACCAGGUGCUAUAGGUA